AAGCUGUCUAUGAAGUUCUCGUCACAAGAGAACACCGACGAUCAGAUUCUUGUUAGAGGCAAGACUUUGUCUCUCGAGUUGCUCAAAGUCGUCAUUGAUAACGGUGGCCCGAUCUGGCGUUCUGACGAAAGGCAAGUUUUAUCUUUCAUUUCGCAGGUUUCUCAAUGCCAUUAAGCAGUUCCUUUGCUUGUCUUUGUU